rnacentral:rRNA from 1 species
AGUACCGUGAGGGAAAGGCGAAAAGAACCCCGGGAGGGGAAGUGAAAUAGAUCCUGAAACCGCAUGCAUACAAAAAGUAGGAGCCGUAAGGCGACUGCGUACCUUUUGUAUAAUGGGUCAGCGACUUACAUUCAGUGGCGAGGUUAACCGAAUAGGGAAGCCGAAGAGAAAUCGAGUCCGAAUAGGGCGUCUAGUCGCUGGGUGUAGACCCGAAACCAAGUGAUCUAUCCAUGGCCAGGAUGAAGGUGCGGUAACACGCACUGGAGGUCCGAACCGACUAAUGUUGCAAAAUUAGCGGAUGAGCUGUGGAUAGGGGUGAAAGGCUAAACAAACUUGGAAAUAGCUGGUUCUCUCCGAAAACUAUUUAGGUAGUGCCUCAAGUAUUACCAUCGGGGGUAGAGCACUGUUUAGGCUAGGGGGUCAUGGCGACUUACCAAACCUAUGCAAACUCCGAAUACCGAUGAGUACAGCUUGGGAGACAGUGCACCGGGUGCUAACGUCCGGACACAAGAGGGAAACAACCCAGACCGCCAGCUAAGGUCCCUAAAAUUGGCUAAGUGGGAAACGAAGUGGGAAGGCUAAAACAGUCAGGAUGUUGGCUUAGAAGCAGCCAU